rnacentral:lncRNA from 1 species
UGGAUUGCAGUGAACUCCCUACAUUGAGGUUAAGCAUUUCAUUCCCUUGUUUCUCUUCACUCUCACACGAGCUCUUCCUCUUCUUUCACCUACUAGCACUAUUUUAUUUUUGUGUGUUGUUUUGUUCUAUUGUAUCCAAAAUGCUGGUCUAUUCCUUCUCCUCUAAAUUAAUGUCAAAGGACCAUGAUAUUAUUGCAAAUAAAUUGGUUUAAUGAGAAUUAAAAUUAUAUUUAUUCUCCAUAUUAUUCUCAUCUCUACUAUUUUUCCAUCUACACCCCCCAUAUGCUCUCAACACCUCAAUAUAUAACUUUCUACUUCUUUUUCUUCUUUCAAUUUUUAUUUAGCAGCAUUAUUAUUUUUAUUUAUUAAUUAUUUAAUUAUUCACCACACAAAAUAAUUAAAUAAAUUAUUCGUCACCCAAAAUAAUUAAAUAAACAUCGUCAAUCAACACCACAACAACUAAAUAACUAAAUCAAAUGAAUUCUAAUUUUUGGGGUGUUACAGGGUUUGGAUCAUCAUCUCAAGGAUCGGCACGACAAAAUCAAAAUGCCGGUGAUCAAGAAUAUCGACCGGAUUUGAAUAGCAUGGUCAAUUUGAAUCAGCUGCCGGAGUACCGAGAGGGUGAUCCAGUACUGAGGAUGAGCAUAGAGGAUAUGAGUCAAAUGCUUAAUGAUCCAAUUCAUUUGCAAUUUUUUGAUCCUGUUGGGCAAACAAGUGGAAGCAGUAGUGGCGGAAGCGGUAGAAUUAAUCAACAAACUG